UGACUCGAUCGGUUAGUUUGUUUGUGUUAUUGUGUGAGUUUGGCAACGGUAGACCAGCAACCCCCGUGUUCUGCGAGGUAAAAUCACUGUUUCUUUCAAUGGAGUCUGGUGGCAUUGGCGAAAGCAUAGAUGGAUUCAACUGCUUUAGUUCCCCGUCGGAAAGGGCUGUCUAACAGCAAGGUAAAGCAGUGAAAAUAUUCUAAAUA